AUUGAACGCUGGCGGCAGGCCUAACACAUGCAGGUCGAACGGUAACAGGAAGAAGCUUGCUUCAUUGCUGACGAGUGGCGGACGGGUGAGUAAUGUCUGGGAAACUGCCUGAUGGAGGGGGAUAACUACUGGAAACGGUAGCUAAUACCGCAUAACGUCGCAAAACCAAAGAGGGGGACCUUCGGGCCUCUUGCCAUCGGAUGUGCCCAGAUGGGAUUUGCUCGUAGGUGGGGUAACGGCUCACCUCGGCGACGCUCCCUAGCUGGUCUGAGAGGAUGACCAGCAACACUGAAACUGAGAAACGGUCCAGACUCCAACGGGAGGCAGCAGGGGGGAAUAUUGCAAAAUGGGGGCAAGCCUGAUGCAGCCAUGCCGCGUGGAUAAAGAAGGCCUUCGGGUUGUAAAGUACUUUCAGCGGGGAGGAAGGGAGUAAAGUUAAUACCUUUGCUCAUUGACGUUACCCGCAGAAGAAGCACCGGCUAACUCCGU
rnacentral:rRNA from 1 species